CUCCUUCCCUCCUCCUCCUCCUCUUCUUCUUAUUCUUCUUCUUCUCCUCCUCCUCUAAUACAGUGUGCGACAGAUAGCUAACCUUUUUUUUUAUAUAAAUUAAAGACACGCAUUUCCUCCCCAAAAACGCGUUUCCGAUUCUCCAUAUUUGCGGAAACAGCCCUGAAAUGUCUUCCCGGCGUGUCCUCGCAUUUCCAGACCGAAAACGUUUCCAACACGAGGAACUCUACCCCGUGUCGUUUCCGUGCAUAUCCUAGAUCUUAUAGUCGCAUAGCACACCUAUCACGCACUUCUACAUUUCAUCCAUUCUAUCUUGAUUCCGUGAAUAACAUCCCCAAGCUUAAUUUGCUCAUGCUUAUUUAAAAUUCAAACAAUUCAUGAAAAACUGAUAAAAAGUUAUUGACAACCACAUCUAUACAACUCCAACAUGGAAAGCAAAAAAAUCCUUUCUUCAUGUCUGGUAAUAGUGCCACUGGAAGUGCCUACAAUUCUUGAUGCCAUUAAUCUCCAUAAAACAAUGUGUCAGCCACUCUAAUUAGUUUCGAAAGAACCAAGUUCCAGUUCAAAAACAAAUGUAACAGCAAUCCACCUCAAUUUGAGCUUCUUUAACAAAUUAGCAGGAUUGGCAAGCCACAAGUGGAUUCCAAAUGACUUGUCUGACUAUUUACAGCAUAUAUAUGAAUAGUGGCACUAAGAUUUCCUCUGUGAUAAUGUGCAUGGUUAACAAAAUCCUCUCUUCACCAUUUCCUUUAAAAAAACUACAUGAAAACACGGAGAGAGAGAGAGAGAGAGAGAG
rnacentral:misc_RNA from 1 species